GUCGAACGCUGGCGGCGUGCUUAACACAUGCAAGUCGAACGGAUAGGCCCUGCUUUUGUGGGGUGUUCGAGUGGCGAACGUGUGAGUAACACGUGAGUAACCUUCCUUUUACUUUGUGAUAACUUCAGGCAACUGGUGCUACUACCUGCUUGGUGCUCCAGCUGCUUGGUGGGGUUCGGACCGUUUCGUCGGUUGGGGAUGGACUUCCGGCUUAUUAGCUUGUUGGUGGGGUAGUGGCUUACCAAGGCUUUGAAGGGUAGCCGGCAUGAGAGGGUGAACGGCCACAUGGGGACUAAGAGACGGCGCAGACGGCUACGGGAGGCAGCAGUGGGGAAUAUUGCACAAUGGGCGGAAGCCUGAGGAAGAAACGCCGCGUGCGGGAUGAAGGCCUUGGGGUGGGAAACCGCAGUAACCUGUGACGAAGCGGGAGUGACGGUAAUGGGUAAAGAAGCACCGGCUAACUACGUG
rnacentral:rRNA from 1 species